GAGGUGGCGGACGGGUGAGUAACGCGUGGGUAACCUGCCUCAUACAGGGGGAUAACAGUUGGAAACGACUGCUAAUACCGCAUAAGCGCACAGGAUCGCAUGAUCUGGUGUGAAAAACUCCGGUGGUAUGGGAUGGACCCGCGUCUGAUUAGCCAGUUGGCAGGGUAACGGCCUGCCAAAGCGACGAUCAGUAGCCGACCUGAGAGGGUGACCGGCCACAUUGGGACUGAGACACGGCCCAAACUCCUACGGGAGGCAGCAGUGGGGAAUAUUGCACAAUGGGGGAAACCCUGAUGCAGCGACGCCGCGUGAGCGAAGAAGUAUUUCGGUAUGUAAAGCUCUAUCAGCAGGGAAGAAGAAUGACGGUACCUGACUAAGAAGCACCGGCUAAAUACGUG
rnacentral:rRNA from 1 species